rnacentral:lncRNA from 1 species
CCAGCUUCAUUAUGGAUGGCUUGUGUAGCUCAUGGACGAAGACCCCAGCUGGAACAUGAGCACGAGUAGAUCCAGGUUUGGAUAGGAUGUCCGCGGCAACGUUGUUAUCGCGAGCUACGUGGUGGAACUCCAGACCUGAGAACUGGUUCUCUAGCUUGUGUACUUCCAGGUCGUACGCAACCAUGUUGUCCUUGUGGCGAUCCUACUCAUCGUUAAC